rfam:Schistosoma mansoni strain Puerto Rico chromosome 7, complete genome
AUCUAGCUGACGAGUCUCGGGUAGGACGAAACGCGCGUCCUAGAU